GGAGAGGUAGCAUAGUCCGGCCUAAUGCGCGCGCCUGGAGAGCGCGUGUGGAGAGAUCCACCGUGGGUUCGAAUCCCACCCUCUCCG
rnacentral:tRNA from 1 species